rnacentral:rRNA from 1 species
ACGGGAGGCAGCAGUGGGGAAUUUUGGACAAUGGGCGAAAGCCUGAUCCAGCAAUGCCGCGUGUGUGAAGAAGGCCUUCGGGUUGUAAAGCACUUUUGUCCGGAAAGAAAACCUUCGAGUUAAUACCUUGGGGGGAUGACGGUACCGGAAGAAUAAGCACCGGCUAACUACGUGCCAGCAGCCGCGGUAAUACGUAGGGUGCAAGCGUUAAUCGGAAUUACUGGGCGUAAAGCGUGCGCAGGCGGUCCGCUAAGACAGAUGUGAAAUCCCCGGGCUUAACCUGGGAACUGCAUUUGUGACUGGCGGGCUAGAGUAUGGCAGAGGGGGGUAGAAUUCCACGUGUAGCAGUGAAAUGCGUAGAGAUGUGGAGGAAUACCGAUGGCGAAGGCAGCCCCCUGGGCCAAUACUGACGCUCAUGCACGAAAGCGUGGGGAGCAAACAGGAUUAGAUACCCUGGUAGUCCACGCCCUAAACGAUGUCAACUAGUUGUCGGGUCUUCAUUGACUUGGUAACGUAGCUAACGCGUGAAGUUGACCGCCUGGGGAGUACGGUCGCAAGAUUAAAACUCAAAGGAAUUGACGGGGACCCGCACAAGCGGUGGAUGAUGUGGAUUAAUUCGAUGCAACGCGAAAAACCUUACCUACCCUUGACAUGUAUGGAACCUGGCUGAGAGGUCAGGGUGCCCGAAAGGGAGCCAUAACACAGGUGCUGCAU